UAGGGAAUCUUCCACAAUGGACGAAAGUCUGAUGGAGCAACGCCGCGUGAGUGAAGAAGGAUUUCGGUUCGUAAAACUCUGUUGCAAGGGAAGAACAAGUAGCGUAGUAACUGGCGCUACCUUGACGGUACCUUGUUAGAAAGCCACGGCUAACUACGUGCCAGCAGCCGCGGUAAUACGUAGGUGGCAAGCGUUGUCCGGAAUUAUUGGGCGUAAAGCGCGCGCAGGUGGUUCCUUAAGUCUGAUGUGAAAGCCCCCGGCUCAACCGGGGAGGGUCAUUGGAAACUGGGGAACUUGAGUGCAGAAGAGGAUAGUGGAAUUCCAAGUGUAGCGGUGAAAUGCGUAGAGAUUUGGAGGAACACCAGUGGCGAAGGCGACUAUCUGGUCUGUAACUGACACUGAGGCGCGAAAGCGUGGGGAGCAAACA
rnacentral:rRNA from 1 species